GUCGACGAAUCCCUGGGGGCUUGCUCUCAGGGGGAAGUGGCGAAAGGGGCAGUAAGGCGUGGGUAACCUACCCCGGGGACCGGGAUAGCCCUCCUAACGGAGGGGUAAUACCGGGCGAGGUGUUUGGAGGGCAUCCCCCGAACACGAAAUGAAUCUCGCCUUGGGAGGGGCUCACGUGGUAUUAGCUGGUUGGUGAGGUAACGGCUCACCAAGGCCAAGAUGCCUAGCGGGUGUGAGAGCACGACCCGCGCCACUGGCACUGAGACACUGGCCAGACUCCUACGGGAGGCUGCAGUCGAGGAUCUUCGGCAAUGGGCGCAAGCCUGACCGAGCGACGCCGCGUGUGCGAUGAAGGCCUUCGGGUUGUAAAGCACUGUCGAGGGGGAGGAAAGCCCGCAAGGGUCUGACCUAUCCCUGGAGGAAGCACGGGCUAAGUUCGUGCCAGCAGCCGCGGUAAGACGAACCGUGCGAACGUUGUUCGGAUUCACUGGGCUUAAAGGGCGCGUAGGCGGGUGGUCAAGUCAGGGGUGAAAGCCCACGGCUCAACCGUGGAAGUGCCUUUGAUACUGACUGUCUUGAGGGAGGUAGGGGCAUGCGGAACUUCCGGUGGAGCGGUGAAAUGCGUAGAUAUCGGAAGGAACGCCGGUGGCGAAAGCGGCGUGCUGGACCUCUUCUGACGCUGAGGCGCGAAAGCCAGGGGAGCGAACGGGAUUAGAUACCCCGGUAGUCCUGGCCCUAAACGAUGGGUACUAGGUAGUGGACUUAACAUGGGUUCCCUGCCGAAGCUAAAGUGGUAAGUACCCCGCCUGGGGAGUAUGGUCGCAAGGCUGAAACUCAAAGGAAUUGACGGGGGCUCA
rnacentral:rRNA from 1 species